rnacentral:rRNA from 1 species
CCCAGACCACCAGCUAAGGUCCCAAAAUAUAUGUUAAGUGGAAAAGGAUGUGGCGUUGCCCAGACAACUAGGAUGUUGGCUUAGAAGCAGCCAUCAUUUAAAGAGUGCGUAAUAGCUCACUAGUCGAGUGACACUGCGCCGAAAAUGUACCGGGGCUAAACAUAUUACCGAAGCUGUGGAUUGUCCUUUGGACAAUGGUAGGAGAGCGUUCUAAGGGCGUUGAAGCAUGAUCGUAAGGACAUGUGGAGCGCUUAGAAGUGAGAAUGCCGGUGUGAGUAGCGAAAGACGGGUGAGAAUCCCGUCCACCGAUUGACUAAGGUUUCCAGAGGAAGGCUCGUCCGCUCUGGGUUAGUCGGGUCCUAAGCUGAGGCCGACAGGCGUAGGCGAUGGAUAACAGGUUGAUAUUCCUGUACCACCUAUA